AUGCUCCCUUGGAAGCUUCGGUUCCGUUCCGGAGUUGUGAGGAUUCGUUCGACUCCAUCCGUUUGUCUUCUUCAUGGACUCGUUCUUCUUCCUUGCGGGAUCUCAGGCAAGAUGACCAUACCCUCAAAAUCACUUCUAUCUUUGCUUGCUAGUUGUUCGCUCUAUCGCUAUGUCACGCUACCUACCACUUGCUAUAUCAUGCCUUCCAUAUUGCCAUGUCAAGCCUCUAACCUACCUUCCCUAGCAAACCGUUGUUUGGCCAUGUUACCGCUUUUGCUCAGCCCCUCUUAUAGCGUUGCUAGUUGCAGGUGA
rnacentral:rRNA from 1 species